CCUCACGCCACCAGCCCGGCGCUGCUGAAUGCUGCUGCAGCAGCUGGGCCGGCCGAGAAGGGGACGGAAGAGGCGGAAGAGGCUCGGCGGGCGGACGGGCGGGCGGCCCCUCUCGCCCCCAGCAGCCGCAGGCGCAGCAGCUCCUCCUGCUGCUUCUGGUCGGGGCUGCGGGAGAGGCGGCGCUUGCCGGGGCCGCUUUCCUCGCUCGCUGCCGCAUCGCCGACCGACCGGCCGGCCGAGCAGCCCGCCCUGCCUGGGCCCCAGCCGGGAGCAAGGAGAGCGGCCCGCUCCAUGGUGGCGACGUGUCGCUUGGGAGGCGCUAGGCCGCGCCGCCGCCUUGGCAGCUUCUUCCCUCAGCCCCAGCGGCUGCUGCAGACUACAGCAUAAUGGCGACCCUUCUCUUCAGCUCCGAGAGAAAACGAACAGAACGAAGUAAAAGUAAAAGUACAUUACCAAGUAAAUACAGCGGAAGAGAGAUAAGGCUGUCUUCCGUUCCCACAGUCUUCUCAGACAGGGCUCUGGGGCUUGGUGAACAAUGCAGGCACUGGUGCCCCAUCAGCUCCCAGUGAAUGGCUGACCAAAGAUGGCUUUGCAAAUGUGAUCGGUGUCAACUUUCUUGGGAUGAUUGACAUGACGCUACACAUGCUGCCCCUGGUGAGAAGAGAAGAGCCAGAGGGAGGGUGGUCAACAUGUCCAGUAUGAUGGGACGACAGGCAUGCUUUGCAGUACCCUAUACCGCAUCCAAGUACAGCGUGGAAGCCUUCUUUAUCAUCUUGAGGGAAAGAUGUUCUAUUCCUUGGACCCCAAAUCAUGACCUGCAUGAUUAUUCUGGUUCUGAAAGAAGACGUGUUUCUUGAUUUUUCCUCUUCAAUUCAGGCGAGAGAUGCGUCCUUUCGGGGUCCAAGUCAGCAUUAUUGAACCUGGUUGUUUCAAAACACCCAUGCAGUCAAACAUGGUAGAGAGCUACAAGAAUGCAUGGAGCCGGGCCCCUUCUGACAUCAAGGAAGCCUAUGGGAGGCACUACUAUGAGCACAGUUGUGCAUGUGUGUGUUGGAAACUGAAAGGACAGGCGGUAUGAAGGCCAAAAGUGCUAGGCCAGAUGUCACAGAAAGCUCAGAGGACGCGCAAUCAAACAAGCUAAAGGAUACCAGAUUUAGAAGGCAAUUGGGCCGCAUCCGGGCCCCGGGCCUUAGUUUGCCUACCCAUGCUGUAAGACUUUCAGAAUCCUGUCAGAUCCUUCACAUAAUUCUUUGUUCGCUUCUGGUGGUGCAUGGUCAUGGUUUUGACAACUUGGGCUAAUCUGAUUUUUUGAAUAAGGGCAUCUCCUAAAUGGCUAGAAAUGACAUUUAUAUCUUUUAGGAAUGACACCCAGGCAGUUCAUUGCAUUGUGGCAAUAAUCCUCCCUCUUUUGCACGUGGUUGGUUCCAUUCCUUUUACCUUGUACACAUGUAACUUUUGAAGUUCCUUGGAGUGUAAACCAAAUGUCCACAAGGUCUGUCUUUGUGGAAAUGGAUUUCCUUUCAGUUGCAAACUGUGGCUGGGCAGCUCAUUCUUGGCUGUGCUUUAGCUUGCCCAGCUGCUGCACACAUUUCCUGAAAUAAACCAGCCCUGGCUGCAUCUUAUUAGCUCUGUGUACAAGCACACUUUAAACUACAGAGACCAACGAAUGGAUUGAAGAAUUUAACCUUUUUUAUUAUGUUCUUUCCACAAAUAACUCUAACGUAAUACUCUAAAAGUGGAGGUUUACCCUUGUCCCUCUUUUUGUAAGCUCUCCCAGCACAACUGCCUUAAUAUUAAUGUAUUAAUGCCACAAAUAUAAACUCUUCAUAUCAUAUAUAUUUAAGAGAAUGCAUAUAAACAAUAUAUAAGCACAUAAACAAUAUAUGCUUCCCCUUUCACCGUACUAAAGAACUGCUUUGUAACAUGGAAACUAGGCAGGCUUUUUGAAUGAGAAAGAAAACACCCAAAUGUGUAAUAUAUCUUUUAAAUGAGGAAAAUAUUCAUUUUAAGGCAGGCGAGCAAAACGACAUAGUGUUGUGGGGGCUCGGCAUCCUUUUGUUUUCAUCCUUUCAAAGAAGAUGGCUCGUUGUCAGUUUUCCUUCCUUAAUGGAGGCAGUGAGGGGUGGGGGAGAAUUGUUACUGGUGCUCUUCUUCAGAGUCUCUGAACUCAUAUGCCAACUGCAAUGUUGCAUCACCAUUUGUCCUGAAUGGAUGACUUGAUCAAACAUCACAUGCUCUUGUAUUCUUGGCACAACAAUGAACCAAAAACAAACCCCUGUGUUGCAAUAAAAACCAAUCACAAUAAUACAAACAGAACGCAUAGGCUAAUAGUUAGUAGAGAAGAUAUAAUAGGAUAAUGAUAUUCAAAUUGUAGGAUUAAGCCAAUCAAAGUUCAUAUGUACAAUAUAACAGGGUGGUAGUGAGGACCAUCAAGCCAAAACAAAUGUCUGAGAACAGUCUCACAAGUGUCUUUCAAAAGUUUCAACAGCAGACAUCUCUAAAGUUACAAAAGUAUAGUCUCUCAAUAGUCUUUCAAAAGAUUCAGCGGAAGGAGUCUCAAAAGCCUCAAAAGGACAAUGUCUCCGGAAUGAUACUACUGUUUCGUGAUAGUCUUCAUCAGCCGAUAUUAUUCAUCAGCAUAAAUUUAUUCUGUUGUUCUGCUUACCGGUAUGUUGUUUGUUCUGCUGAGCCAUUGCACAUGGCUCGAAGUUCAGUGUAAACUGCUUGUAUUCAACGUCUUCCUAGAACUCCCCCAGGUAGAUAGUAAACGGUCUGCAAAGGGGCAGAGAGAGAAAUACUGAACUUCAUCACUUCAUCAGUGCCCUACAGUGGCCAUGGCAUAAAACCCUAGGCAGGAUGAGGUCUCUUUCUCGCUGCUCUUCCUUAGUGCUCUCAUCUACUUUUUUGUUGAAGAGUAUUGUGCUGGCAGCAGUCUGCACACAUUCCUAGCCAGGAGAUAGAACAGGCGUCAGCAACGUUUUCUGGCUGUGGGCUGAAGAAUUCCCACGGACUAUCGUUUCCGGUGUCCGGGACCUGGGCAAUGUGGCAUUGGAAGUAGCUUCUGCGCAUGUCCGCAGUGCCAGAAAUCGCUUCCGGGCAUGCGCAGAAGCUAUUUCCAGUGCCACACUGCCCAUGUCCUCGGCACCGGAAAUAGCUUCUGCGCAUGUUCACAGUGCUGGAAUCGCUUCUGCGGCUGCACAGGCGCCAUUUUCGGCGCCGCUCGGCGAGUCCCCGUGGAAGAUUCGGCGGAAGACGUCUCAAAAGCCUCAAUAGGACUGUGUCUCGGGACCGAUACUACUGCUUCAUGAUAGUCUUCAUCGGCUGAUGUUAUUCAACAUGUUUAUGUUGUCGUUUGUUCUGCUGAGCCAUUGGACAUGGCUCAAAGUUAAGUGGAAACUGCUUGUAUUCAACGUCUUCCUGGAACUCCCCCAGGUAGUUAGUAAACUGUCUGCAAAGGGGCAGAGAGAGAAAUACUGAACUUAUGUUUCUGUGUUCUCCUAUUGAUAUCCUAGGUUUUUAUAACCCUGCACAACAAAUAAAGAAGAAAAGAGGUAAUAGGUCUAGGAAGAGCCAACACGUCUGAACUCCUUACAAUCUCCCCCUGUUGUUUCCUAAGUAAAUUCUUUUGUGACCACUAGGUGGCGAUAGCCUUUUUCCAAAGGAUCAUUCCUGCUCCUUUACGUGCCAACUGACGCCUCUUUGUCUUACUCGGGAUCGCCUACUUCCGCUGAGUGAUGUCUCAGUUUUUGUUUUGUUUUUUUACUCCGCCAUUAUUCUCCUCUUCAGCCGCUCUUUCCCUUCUUGGUCUGUCCUUCCGUUUCCUCCCCUUUUCCUCUCCUCUGCCUUUGUUUUUCAGCUCGUCCACCCCGUGUUGCCUUCCCCUUCUUUCUCCUCUUCUCCCUCCUUCAGGCCACCUCCUUCCCUCCCUAGCUCCAUUGGGAUGGAUCUCCUUUCCCCUCUUUAGUCACUUUCAGUUGUUUUCAGACAUUGUUGUCCGCGGGCAUCACUUGAAUCCGCCUUGCGUGAUUUCUGCUGCGGGCACAGCAAGCAGUGCACGCUAUGGUUGCCAAUGAAAGUACUGUGACUGAAAGGCAGAGAGAGAGAGAGAACAUAUUAUCUUCUGGAAUUGCUAGCCAGGAGUUAGAACAAUCCAACCUGCUAAUACAAUGAGUAGACUCACCAGAAAGGGACAGUUGUGGCUUUUACAUUUGUCUUGUGUCCUCUGGAAUUACUAGAGGCCACAAGAGUUGCUAACAACAAGAGCUCCAGAACAUGGGUAGGCAAACUAAGGCCCCUCUAGUAGCUCUAAACUGUACAUGUAGAUUAAAGAAAAUCUCAAAGAAAGAAUACAUUAUUCAUAGCUCCUGAAUGACUAAAUAGACCCAUCUGAUGAGCCCAGAAAGUUGCAAGCAUGAUUCAUACUUACCAAUGAAUAAGAAGAUGCAGAAGAACACCAGAAUCUCAUAUGGUUCGGCCUUUUUUAACCCCGCCCAAAUUCCUUGAAAGACAUCCUCCUUGGGUUAACCCACGUUGGGACAGGGGGAGGGGAAACCAAAGAGAGAAUUUGUCAGAAUUUCUACUGUUAACUGCCUGGAAAUCCCCCAGAAUGAUACUACUGUUUCGUGAUAGUCUUCAUCAGCCGAUAUUAUUCAUCAGCAUAAAUUUAUUCUGUUGUUCUGCUUACCGGUAGGUUGUUUGUUCUGCUGAGCCAUUGCACAUGGCUCGAAGUUCAGUGUAAACUGCUUGUAUUCAACGUCUUCCUAGAACUCCCCCAGGUAGAUAGUAAACUGUCUGCAAAGGGGCAGAGAGAGAAAUACUGAACUCCAUCACUUCAUCAGUGCCCUACAGUGACCAUGGCAUAAAACCCUAGGCAGGAUGAGGUCUCUUUCUCGCUGCUCUUCCUUAGUGCUCUCAUCUACUAUCUUGUUGAAGAGUAUUGUGCUGACAGCAGUCUGCACACAUUCCUCACUACCUCCACACCCUUUUCUUUUAAUUUUAGUUUUCAAAAGCCAAAAAGAUACAAAUAAUAAUAAUAAUAGGUAUAAAUCACAAAGAAUACAAAUAAAGGUACAGAGAUAACAAAGAAAAUUUGUGCAUGACACAUGUAUGUUAAUCACGAUGACUGUUUCAUAUUUGAACAUCUAUCACAGACAGACAUUUCAUACUGCUUUGGAUAUGCUGCUUUGCAAUGGAUAUGCACACUUCAUACAUUCAUCUGAGAAUGCAAGUGAUGAGAAGUUAUGUGUGAAUUGGCCCUCGUUCUCUUCAUGCUGGGAGAUUCCGCUGUUAGCUCUAAACUGUACAUGCUACCUCCUGCAUAAUCUUGUAGUACGCUAGCCCAAAGCAACACUGCCAUUUGACCCAGAGCUAACUAUUUCUGUAAAUGUUGGCUCCCAUGCCAUUCAGAUGAUAAAGUUCAGAUUGAAACUUUUAAGUGCUAUAGAACCUAGGGGCUGGUUGCCUGUCCGGAUUCUGCCACACAAAUAUUCACAUACAUAAACAGCAUUUAUAUUGCAUGGUGAAGCUUAGCAGUGUAGAUCUUCACUGAAUUCUUA